rnacentral:rRNA from 1 species
UACAGAGGGGGCAAGCGUUAUUCGGAAUUAUUGGGCGUAAAGGGCGCGUAGGCGGCCGGACAAGUGGAAGGUGAAAUCCCCGAGCUCAACUCGGGAACUGCCCUCCAAACUGUUUGGCUUGAGUCCGGGAGAGGUGAGUGGAAUUCCCAGUGUAGCGGUGAAAUGCGUAGAUAUUGGGAGGAACACCAGUGGCGAAGGCGGCUCACUGGACCGGAACUGACGCUGAGGCGCGAAAGCGUGGGGAGCAAAUGGG